GGGUUCCGCUGCAGUUGUAAAAAUGCUACCACCUUCCACGAAAUCAUUUAAAUCGACGCGAAUCUCGCGAAAAAGAAGUGCUGCUGCUGGUGCUCAGCCAGCUGUAACUGGCACCACAUCGGGGGAAAAUCGCAAAGGCUCUUCAGCUACCCGAAAAAUCGUAACGUCCUGUACGUUUCCCGGGCAGCGCUUACGUAGUACUGUUGCUGGUGCACGACCAGCAGUUAUAGUCAUUAUUCUGCAAAUUAUUUCUAUCGGCGGAAUCUACGAGGUUCUCAAUAAGGAAAAUUGGUUCCGGCGGCGAUCGUAGAUGGUACUCCCAGCUGGUAUUGUUGCAGAAGCGCAAACGCUUUUCAACUGUUUGCCAUACCAUGGAAACCGGAACCACCAGCACCAAUGAUGUGGAUUGCAAAAGGACCCCUUCCAAAAAGAAUCAAAAUUCUUUUGAAAUGCUUCAAAGCACCACUGAAGCAAAGCUCACGACAGCGGAAGGCAACACAAGCUACGGGAUCGGACUGUUAGAUGAACACAAUCCGCUUCGAUAAAUAACUCAUGAGUUUCCCUUAAAAUGACGUUUUCCAGAAUGGUGAAUCUCCGCCGAAUGUAGCAGUUUCUCGAUGGUUUUUAGCCAAUGCUAAAUUCUCCUUUAAAUGCACCAGUUGCUGGAAAUUCAAGCAUUGAUAUGCAAAGGAAAACAGCAGGGAAGGGAUCAGGGUUUGGAUAUUAAAACGCUGGGCUUACCUCUUCCUUGACCGUGGCGGCAAUCAUGGUUUAAAUAUGAAAACGAAAGGCAACAAAACGUGUUGAUAUAAUUAUUCCGAAAAAUCAUCUUCUAAAAUUAAAACUUAAAAAAAAGCAUCAUUAGAAUUUACAAAAAUGUCCGGAAAAGGUUCAUCAACUGAACUUUGCCUCAGGCGUCUGAUUUCGCAGCUUAUCCUACUGAAAAGCGUCCGUUUAAUGAGUGAGUACUGUUAGAUAAAUGGAUCUUUCAAAAUCAAUCAAAUAAUUUUCGUUGAAUCUGCUACACUUAUUAAUUUAUAUUUAAAUGAU